UAUAUUUCAAUGUAGGGGCAUAUAAAAUUUUGAGUUUUAAAGCAUUAAGAAUAUUAAUAAAUAUAA
rnacentral:tRNA from 1 species